AAGCUGGCGGCUGCCUAAACAUGCAAGUCGAACGCUUGUCGGGCUUCGGUCCGGCGGGAGUGGCGCACGGGUGAGUAGCGCGUGGGAACCUGCCCUGUUGUGGGGGAUAACCGAGGGAAACUUCGGCUAAUACCGCAUGCGCCCGCGGAGUUGAUCUGCGGGGAAAGAUUUAUCGCAGCAGGAGGGGCCCGCGUCGGAUUAGCUGGUUGGCGGGGUAACGGCCCACCAAGGCGAUGAUCCGUAGCUGGUCUGAGAGGAUGAUCAGCCACACUGGGACUGAGACACGGCCAGACUCCUACGGGAGGCAGCAGUGGGGAAUAUUGGACAAUGGGGGCAACCCUGAUCCAGCAAUGCCGCGUGAGUGAUGAAGGCCUUCGGGUUGUAAAGCUCUUUCGCCCGCGACGAUGAUGACGGUAGCGGGAGAAGAAGCCCCGGCUAACUUCGUGCCAGCAGCCGCGGUAAUACGAAGGGGGCGAGCGUUGUUCGGAAUCACUGGGCGUAAAGGGCGCGUANGCGGCCCUCUUUGUCGCGUGUGAAAGCCCC
rnacentral:rRNA from 1 species